rnacentral:rRNA from 1 species
UACGUAGGGGGCUAGCGUUGUCCGGAAUCAUUGGGCGUAAAGAGCGCGUAGGCGGCCAGUUAAGUCCGGUGUGAAAGUCAAAGGCUCAACCUUUGAAUGCCGCUGGAAACUGUCUGGCUAGAGUCCGGGAGGGGCGAGUGGAAUUCCUAGUGUAGCGGUGAAAUGCGCAGAUAUCAGGAGGAACACCAAUGGCGAAGGCAGCUCGCUGGAACGGUACUGACGCUGAGGCGCGAAAGCGUGGGGAGCAAACAGG